rnacentral:lncRNA from 1 species
CGGGGGCAGGGAGACCGGACCCAGAGGCACUGGGCCGCGCCUCGGCCCCAUGGACGCCCUGUGCGGUUCCGGGGAGCUCGGCUCCAAGUUCUGGCACUGGGGAGCCCGGGAAAGUGAGGAAGAGUGCGCGGCUGGGGCGCAAAGGCACAGUGCGUGGCUGGGUGAGUCGGCUCCAUCCCAGCCCCUCCGUCGGGUGCGGAAGGGGCGUUUCGCAAUCAGCCGCGGGUUCCUGAUGGAGGGUCUUCCCUCAGCAUCUGCCUCAGGUAAGACUGAGGUCUGAGAGCAGGCCAUCCCCACCACUCCGGACUCAGAAGGGAGAAGCAGACCCCAGUCUGGAGACAGGUGCAGGGUGUCAGGAUUCCUGUAGUCCAACUCCCUUCUCACAGAUGGAGAAAGGGAGGCCCAGAGAGAGGAAGGGACUUGCCCAAAGUUACCCAGUUCAAUGAAGGCAGAGCUGGGAUAGAAAAACAGGCUACAGGCCAGGUGCAGUGGUUCACGCCUGUAAUCCCACCCUUUGGGAGGCAGAGGUGGGAGGAUCACUUCAGCCCAGGAGUUUUAGAUUACUGUGAGCUAUGAUCGCACCACUGCACUGUGGCCUGGGCGAAAGAGUGAGACCCUGUCUCUAAAAAAAUAAAUAAAUAAGAAAAGAAAAUCAA